rnacentral:piRNA from 1 species
UGGAACUGGAGUUAUAGACAGCUGUG